UUGUAAAGUUAUAUUUCCAAAUAGAGUUUUUCUUGUGAGUUUACCCCCUGGUUUAGCCUAGGGGUGACAUUUAGAUUCGAGUUUAUUCUCGGAUCGACCCCUUCUUCUUUGAUUAAUAAGAAUUAAUUAUUGAAGAUACAUCACUCUCACUCUCACUGUCUCUAUUUUUAUUCUUUGAAUGUUUAUAUACUUCACAAACACCCGUCUCAACGAAAGAAGAAGUUGCAUCGUUCUAACAGGGCCGCAAAAGGGGACCAACAAGUGGUAUCAGAGCUGAUUGGAUAAAUUAUUUCAAAGAUCCCUUGCUCCUGUAAGAGAGACGUAUAUUCAUGAUCUGUUAAAGGUAAAAAGAAUUUUUUUUUUGCAGAUAAAAAAAAAAGCAUGUAGUAGAGCUAUUAUUUUUUUUCUGUUAUUUUCAUUACUAUUGCUUUAAUUACUACUAUUAUUAUUAUCUCUAUUAGUAUUUUUUUUUAUAAUAAGAGGUGUAGAAAAAGGAUAUUAAAACACAAAAAAAGGAGUGAAACAAAGAUAAAUGAACUUUAGUUUAUCAGAAAGAAAAAUUUUGACAUCUAAAAAGAGAGUUUCUGAUAAAAGAAAGUGUGUUCGUAUCUUAUUUAAUGAAAUAACUCCAAAUUCUGGUUAGUUAAUCUUCAAAAAAAAGGAAUGAUAAUGAUAAAAAAGAGAUUAAAAAAAAAGAAAACUGUGUGAAACUUUAGAAAACAUACUCAUAAUUAUUAUCUUUUAAAAAGUUUUCACAAAAUAUUCCUUGAAGAAAAGAACAUGUAUUUUGACUUACACCAGAAAAAUAUGUGUAUGUAAUAUCUCUUUUCCUUACUUAUUCCCUCUCAUCUCCAAAAAAAAAAAAAAACAACUUUUUUUUUGAAUUUUCUGAUGCGUUGGUCAGAUUUUCUGAUGAUUUCUGAUGCGUUCGUCAGAUUUUCUGUUAAAAAAAAAAUCAGAUUUUCUAAUUAUUUUAUCAGAAAUGUCAUUAGAUUGAUCAGAUUCCAUCAGAAAUUCUGUUAAAAAAAACUUUUUUUUUUCAGAUUUUCUGAUUAUUUCAUCAGAAAUUCAUCAGAAUCUAUCAUAUUCCAUUAGAAAAUCUGUAAAAAAAAAAAAAACGAUUUUUUUCGGUUUUAUCAGAAAUUUCAUCAGAUUCAUCAGAUUUUCUGAUCCGAAAAAAAAAUCUCGACGGUUUAAGAUCAUUUUUUAUAGCUUGCAUUAUUCGUUAUUUUUUGAAGCCUCAUCAAUCGACAGCCUAAACACUUAUCCUAUAUUGGAUAGAAGAUACGUAUAUCCUAGUUGUUGGGGAUACAAGAUAUAAUGCUUACAUUUAGGUGGAAUUAUAAAUCGAGGUGAAGAAUUAUAACAACAAAAGAAAUAUAAUCAGAUGAUCAUCCAUAAAAAGUCGGACGUUUGCCAAAUAAACUUUCAAGCCAAUGAAGAUACAGUCAACGAAUAUCACUAAAAAGAUGCCUACAUGAUAACGUGCCAAGAAGAAAAGAAAGAUACAUCUUCAGCAAGUUUAUUUGGGUGACUGUUAGGAAACUUUAUUGUAUUUCUUGUUAAAAAUAGUUUAAGU
rnacentral:lncRNA from 1 species